CGACCAGGGGGCCGGGUUGUUCCGCGUCGGUGGGAGCGGCGUGACCCAGGGGCUGAGGGGAAGCUCCCGCGCAAGCGGGUCAGGCGAGCU
rfam:Pseudomonas pseudoalcaligenes KF707 = NBRC 110670 strain KF707 ctg10010, whole genome shotgun sequence.